AUUAAACUGAAGAGUUUGAUCCUGGCUCAGAUUGAACGCUGGCGGUAUGCUUAACACAUGCAAGUCGAACGGUAACAGGCAGAGCUUGCUCUGUGCUGACGAGUGGCGGACGGGUGCGUAACGCGUGGGAAUCUACCUUGUAGUGGGGGAUAGCCCGGAGAAAUCCGGAUUAACACCGCAUAAUCUCUACGGAGGAAAAG
rnacentral:rRNA from 1 species